rnacentral:rRNA from 1 species
AAACUAGGAUUAGAUACCCUAUUAGUAAUAGCAAAAAUUUAGUAGUAAGUGUUUUUCAUGAAACUAAAAUUAAUUGGCGGCAAUUUAAAUUUUUUAGAGGAAUUUAUUCUGUAAAGGAUUAGACACCAAAAUCUUACUUUUGUUAGUUAAUCAGUUUGUAUAUCUCUAUUUAAAAAUAUAAUGAUAUAUUUUAUUCACCUUAUUUUUGUAUAACAAAAAUUUAGGUAUAGGUGCAGCUAAUAUAAAAGAUUGAAAUAAAUUAUAUUAAUUAUUAUUUAACAAUUUUUGUUUGGUAGGGGCAUAUUUAGUAAAAUUUAAAAGUAAGAUUAGCAGAUUGAGUUGAUUUGAAUAUUAUUUUAAUUGUGUACAUAUUGCCCGUCACUCUCUUUCAGAGAUAAGUCGUAACAUAGUA